CUGGUGUGCAGCGUGCAGAGGUAGGAGGGUUCGGGGAGCGGGGUUAGGUCAUAAGGGGCAGAGGGAGGCCCAGAGGGCUCUUUUUAGCAGCGGCGGGUAGACGGGGUACCGGCGCCUGUUUCGUGAGACGGUUGCGGUAGCCGCGACGAAGUUACCCGAACAUGAGACUGAGUCUAGUGCUCAAACUACUCCCGGAGUUGGACCAGACGGUAAGGACAUAGUAGUGCCCACUGCGACAACACGUGUCGAGAGGAGGAUGGAACUACGGCGACCCUAGGUGUUGGGUGGCCUUUCCUCAUCGCCGCGGGAGUGUCCAACCUGGUGAGGGCCUAGGCAGCGGCGGAAGUGUCGGUCCUGCCCGGCUGGUGGCUCCCGUAGAAAGAGGUGGUGAACACUACUCACCGGCUCGGUACCUCGCCUCCGCCGCCCCUCAUGACUAAUAUAACCUUCCGGUUCCCUAAUAAAGACGUGCUCCUACAUAAACCCUCUCUAAAACUCACCGACGAUGAUGACCUACGUUAACAACCUUAACAGUCUCUACCACGUCUAUAACUUCCUCAGAGUUGUAACUACCAAUGAAGGACGGCUCUAAACACUUUAUGAAUUCUUGAUGUUCUUAAAAGUAUGUCGAGGUCAAAUCCGUUUACCUACCUCAUGAAACGAAAACGCAGUAUACAAAAAUUACCGAACCUCAAGUAGGAGGCGGUGUGAUUGCUGCUGGGUUACGGUACCACCACCUCUGGUGUUGUCUACAGUUCCGUCUCCUCUCCACAAAUGUAAAAAAAGGACCGUCACUCACAAAUGUGUUAGAUCUGUACAGAUACUACGACCGAGGUCGGUCUAAACCCCUGAUAAUUGGUUUUAUAACUAGCGUUGUUUAAUCAGACCUAUUAUUUAAUACAUAAAUCGAAGAGAUAUUCGCCGUGGUCACUCUUACACGUACGCAAUCUGUUAAGUUAAAAUUACUUACGUACGUUUGACUUAAUACAUAAUCAAACUCGUGCAGUAACUUUUCUGC
rnacentral:rRNA from 1 species